UGAGAUGAAAAAAUAAAGUGACACAAUAAAACAUAGAUCGAGUGGCAUUUGACAAUGUAAAGUAAAGUGACACUAGAGUUAGUGUGUGUGGCAUCAAAGAGAACUGUGACGCAAAGAACAAUGAUAAUGAUUAGAGACAAGUAAGAAAAAUGAAAGUGGCAUAAAGAACGAGUAAAGUUAAAGAACAAUGAUUGCUAGAGUUAGCAAAAUAAAGUGAUGUAAAGAACGAUGUAAAGAACACUAGAGUUAGUGUAAAGACAAUGAUUGAACAAUAUAUCCUUAGAGUUAAGGAUCGAUCAUACUUGCUAUGAGUUCCGUGCUCGAGGGCGGUCGUUCCCCCUGGAGCGAUGCGCUCCGGAGUUUUGCAUCACGGGUUGGAGUCAACCCGAGGACAGUCUUAGCGGGAGGCAGCUGAGGACCCGCGAUGAUGGACUUAAUGUGGGCAAGUUAAUGUGGCGAAACCCCAGGUUAGCCGUGAGAUUAAAGAACAAAGAACAAAG
rnacentral:lncRNA from 1 species